AUCAUCUUUGCUUUGAACCAGACCCGCCUGCAGCGAGAGCCUGCGAGCAGGCAGCUUUCAGGUCCCUUACACACAGAGGACCUCCUCAAACACUGGAACUGUGGGGACCUCGGCUCCAUCAUCUUCAGCCGUGACAGCUCCCAGAUGAGAGCCCUUGACUCCUGCCCAGCUCAGCACACAUUUAAGUGCAAGAAUAAGGACAUUACCUGCCGACACCGGGACAUCCUGUGUACAAAAGAUUGAGGUCAGGAAGGGCUCUGAAAAUAACCGUGCCGAUGUAUGUGUUGAGUGAGAUGCUGCAGUCAACAAAGACAUUCUUUAGGAAACCGAGGAACAUUGGGAGAAUUCAUUCCAGAUGAAGUCAAAGGAUAAAGCUUCAUGGGACUGGGCAGCAGGCAUCAUGAACCAGCCUGCAGAGAGGGGAAGGGGUCUGAGUCUGACAGCUUCCUGGCUGACUUAGAUGCAGUGACUGGAGAGAAGCACUUCUGGAGCGGCAGAGUGAAUGAUCGAGUGUCAUCUCCUGGUCUCAUGAUCCUUAGCUUAAUUAUAUCUGCAAACUACCUACCUGCUUUUUUUUUUUUUUGCCAUGUAAGAUUUCUCCCUGGUGGCUCAGUGGUAAAGAAUCCGCCUGCCAAUGCAGGAGACCCCAGUUCUAUCCCUGGGUUGGGAAAAUCCCCUGGAGAAGUGAAUGGCUAUCCACUCCAGUAUUCUUGCCUGGAGAAUCCUAUGGACAGAGGGGCCUGGCGGGCUACAGUCUGUGGGGUUGCAGAAUUGGACAUGACCUAGUGAUUAAACCAACAAUAAGAUAUUCACAGGUUCUAGGGGUUAUAUAAUCAGUUUACCACAACAUCUGAAACUCAGUUAAUGUAGUAUCUCAUAUUGAUGGAAUCAAGGACAAGAAUGACAAGAUCAUCUCAAUAGGUGCAGAAAAUGCUUUUGACAAAAUGGAAUCUUACAGAUAAAAUCACUCAUCAGACUAGGAAUGGAAGGGGACUUUAUCAACCUGUUAAAAAAAUUGCUAUGAAAACCCAUAGUUGAUAUCAUAUUUAAUGAAGAAGACCGAAUCCCUCUAAGAUUAGGAACAAGAUACAGACGUCUGCUCUCACCACUUCUCUUUGACCUUGUGCUGAAAGCUGUAGCCUUCAGGGGAAUUAGACAAGGACAAGAAAUAAAAGCUAUUCACAUUGGAAAGGAGGAAGUGAA
rnacentral:lncRNA from 1 species